UGGGGAAUAUUGCACAAUGGACGGAAGUUUGAUGCAGCGACGCCGCGUGGAGGGUGUAGGCCUUCGGGUUGUGAACUCCUUUUUCUCGCGAAAAAGGUACAGUUUUGGCUGUGUUGUUGGUAGUGGGGGAAGAAGCGCCGGCUAACUACGUGCCAGCAGCCGCGGCAAUACGUAGGGCGCGUUCGUUGUCCGGAUUUAUUGGGCGUAAAGAGUUCGUAGGUGGUUCGUCGCGUCUGUCGUGAAAGCCAGCGGGUUAACUGUUGGUCUGCGGUGGGUACGGGGGGGGAUGAGUGAGGUAAGGAUGACUGGAAUUACUGGAGUAGCGAUGGAAUGCGAAAAAAUCAGGAAGAAAACCGAUGGCGAAGGCAGGUCACUGGGCCGUUACUGACACUGAGGAGCGAAAACGUGGGGAGCGAACAUG
rnacentral:rRNA from 1 species